rnacentral:rRNA from 1 species
UAGGGAAUCUUCCACAAUGGACGCAAGUCUGAUGGAGCAACGCCGCGUGAGUGAAGAAGGGUUUCGGCUCGUAAAGCUCUGUUGUUAAAGAAGAACGUGGGUAAGAGUAACUGUUUACCCAGUGACGGUAUCUUACCAGAAAGGAACGGCUAAAUACGUGCCAG